rnacentral:lncRNA from 1 species
UAUGACUAUGGUGGUGAACCUCACGAUUUUGGGGGUGGUACCUCUAUUUAUAGAUGAAGGUGUCUUCAAAGUAGACCAAAAUCCUAAAAGCUCUCCACUCUUAGAGUGUCAUGUAGAAAGUCAUUUUAGCAAAAGUUUCUCCACUUGAAAGAUGAUAUGUGGUCAUUAUCUUUGUAAGAAAACUCUUCACUAAGAGCUUGCCAUAUGGCCAUCAUGCUCCACGGGGGAACAUCCUUCAACAAGCUAGGGUUAAAAUCCAUAUACUACUCGAC